rnacentral:rRNA from 1 species
AACGAACGUUAGCGGCGCGCCUAACACAUGCAAGUCGAACGCGACAGGGGCAACUCUGUUGAGUGGCGCACGGGUGAGUAACACGUAGGUAAUCUCCCCCCGAGUGGUGGAUAACCUUCCGAAAGGAGGGCUAAUACAGCAUAAGACCACGGCUUCGAAAGGAGCUGAGGUCAAAGCGGAGGAUAGCAAGACUUCGCGCUUGGGGCUGAGCCUGCGGCCCAUCAGGUAGUUGGCGGGGUAACAGCCCACCAAGCCUAAGACGGGUAGCUGGUCUGAGGGGAUGAUCAGCCACACUGGAACUGAGACACGGUCCAGACUCCUACGGGAGGCAGCAGUGGGGAAUCUUGCGCAAUGGACGAAAGUCUGACGCAGCGACGCCGCGUGGGUGAUGAAGGCCUUCGGGUUGUAAAGCCCUGUGGGGAGGGACGAAUAAGUUUCAGCUAAUACCUGAAGCGAUGACGGUACCUCCUUAGCAAGCACCGGCUAACUCUGUGCCAGCCGCCGCAGUAA